CAGCAGCCGCGGGAAUACGUAGGUCCCGAGCGUUGUCCGGAUUUAUUGGGCGUAAAGCGAGCGCAGGCGGUUAGAUAAGUCUGAAGUUAAAGGCUGUGGCUUAACCAUAGUACGCUUUGGAAACUGUUUAACUUGAGUGCAAGAGGGGAGAGUGGAAUUCCAUGAGUAGCGGUGAAAUGCGUAGAUAUAUGGAGGAACACCGGUGGCGAAAGCGGCUCUCUGGCUUGUAACUGACGCUGAGGCCCGAAAGCGUGGGGAGCAAACAGGAUUAGAUACCCCAGUAGUCCCUGUCUCUUAUACA
rnacentral:rRNA from 1 species